rnacentral:rRNA from 1 species
UGCUGGACAAGGAGUGUUCUGUUGAGCUCAUUUUCACACGAUGAACAACUGGCUUAGAACUGAUUCGGGCAAGGGGAAUCUGACUGYUUAAUUGAAACAAAGCAUUSCGAUCCGGGCCUCAAAGGGUGGUGCCACAAUGUGAUUUCUGCCCAGUGCUCUGAAUGUCAAAGUGAGGAAAUUCAACUAAGCGCGGGUAAACGGCGGGAGUAACUAUGACUCUCUUAAGGUAGCCAAAUGCCUCGUCAUCCAAUUAGUGACGCGCAUGAAUGGAUUAAUGAGAUUCCCACUGUCCCCAUCUACUGUCCAGCGAAACCACAGCCAAGGGAACGGGCUUGGGUAAAUCAGCGGGGAAAGAAGACCCUGUUGAGCUUGACUCUAAUCUGACUUUGUGAAAUGACUUAGGAGGUGUAGGAUAUGUGGGAGCUCUGGUGAUCUUGAAAUACCACUACUCUUAAUGUCACUUUACUUACUCUAUCAGACUGUGGCCUGCUUCCCAGCAGGUUUUUGUUUCAAGGCAUCUCAUCUGACUUGUUGACUUGCGUAGAGGACGUAGUCAGGUGGGCAGUUUGGCUGGGGCGGCACAUCUGUUAAAGGAUAACGCAGGUGUCCCAAGGUAAGCUCAAGGAGAACAGAAAUCUCAGGUGGAUCAGAA